AACGCGAAGAACCUUACCAGCCCUUGACAUGUCCGGGACCGGUCGCAGAGAUGUGACCUUCUCUUCGGAGCCCGGAACACAGGUGCUGCAUGGCUGUCGUCAGCUCGUGUCGUGAGAUGUUGGGUUAAGUCCCGCAACGAGCGCAACCCCCGUCCUUAGUUGCUACCAUUUAGUUGAGCACUCUAAGGAGACUGCCGGUGAUAAGCCGCGAGGAAGGUGGGGAUGACGUCAAGUCCUCAUGGCCCUUACGGGCUGGGCUACACACGUGCUACAAUGGCGGUGACAAUGGGACGCUAAGGGGCAACCCUUCGCAAAUCUCAAAAAGCCGUCUCAGUUCGGAUUGGGCUCUGCAACUCGAGCCCAUGAAGUUGGAAUCGCUAGUAAUCGUGGAUCAGCACGCCACGGUGAAUACGUUCCCGGGUCUUGUACACACGC
rnacentral:rRNA from 1 species